UCCGGGCACAUUUUCUAAACUGAGUCUGGUAGGAGGAGCCAGCCACACUGUUAAACUCUUAAAGUGCCAGUGGCUCCUUGUGGACCCGUCUAUACCCCAUGGUACUAAUGUGGACCCCAGCAUCCUCUAGGACGUAAGAGAAAGUUUGCUGGGAGCAACAUUUUACCCAUUUUCUCCCCCUUAGCAAUAGAUACCCCGUAGUAUCCCUGCUUAGUGGCUGGCUGCACAUAACUGUCACAGUUUCCAUAUCACCCGGCAGGUGCACAGAGAGAGGUCACCAACUGUCACAUUUUCCAGAGCACAAUGGUGAUGCAUUGUAAAUGGCAGGUGUAUCUUUUGCCACAUAACUCUGAAAAAACCCAUUGAUGUCGCCUCACCAAACAUUUGUCCUGUGAGGCAGCAUGCUUUGCUGUGAUUGGCUGGCCGUCAGAAGUGCAGCACGUGGCUUGUAGCUGGCGAGAGGUAGCAGCGCCCAGUCACCAGUGAGGCGGGGAAGAGGGACUCCAGACUGGAGUCGCGGAUGAGCUUCGGACCCCGCUCCCCAUUUGAAGCCGCCAUGCAUCGAGACUCCUGCCCGUUGGACUGCAAAGUCUACGUCGGCAACUUGGGUAAUAACGGCAACAAGACGGAACUGGAGCGGUCGUUCGGCCACUAUGGACCCUUACGCAGCGUGUGGGUGGCCAGGAACCCCCCCGGCUUCGCCUUUGUGGAGUUUGAGGAUCCCAGAGAUGCCGCUGAUGCUGUGCGAGAAUUAGACGGCCGAACCCUGUGCGGAUGUCGUGUUAGAGUAGAGUUAUCCAGCGGUGAGAAACGCAGCAGGAACCGCGGACCGCCGCCAUCUUGGAACAGACGACCUAGGGAUGAUUAUAGUAGGAGGAGUCCCCCGCCUAGGCGCAGAGUCACCACCAUGUCUCUUCUCACCACCCUCUGGCUUAGACAACUAGCCUUACCAGCGUCAUGUGACCAGCGCGCCCUACUCAGCUUGGCCGGUGCGGUAUCACAUGACCCAGGCAUCAGGUUGUACCGCCCUAUGACUCCCGAGCAUGCUGUCCUCUCAGCCGUCCUCCUCUCCUACCUUAACCAAAACUCGGCAGCGGCGGCGGCAGCAGCCCACCUUCAGAGCCCACACAUUGGCGGCCAAUUCGCAACAACUGCAGCGCCAGUCUACGGCUAAGCAAAAAGAGCAGGAAAAACCACAACAUCCCCCUCCGCAAACCGUCCAAAUUCAACGCAACUCCUGGCAAAACCUUGCCAGCUAAUUCUACCUGGCCACCCGUCCGCCAUCCGCACCACGUCCGCCAUCCGCACCGUGUCCGCCAUCCGCACCAUUUCUAGCUUGUUGCAGCCCAAACGACUAGUCCCUUUCUAGAGAUCGCCGGAGAGAAAGAUCUCUGUCCAGAGAGAGGAUUCCUAAACCUUCUCGUUCAUUUUCUAGAUCAAGAAGG